rnacentral:precursor_RNA from 8 species
UUUCACUGUUGGCUGAUGCCAUUGGCGGAGGCGGGUGUGCUGUCUGGUGCGUGUGUUUCACCAUGACUAGAUAACACAUUCGUCUCUGCCUCUUGAGCACCCUCGUCCUGUUAUG